UAUAGAGUACCUUACUCACUACCCUUUGUGAACUAUUAUACCUGUUGCCUCGGCGGCGCCCCCUGUGGGCGCCCGCCGGUCUACUAGAAUCUCUGUUUUCGAACCCGACGAUACUUCUGAGUGUUCUUAGCGAACUGUCAAAACUUUUAACAACGGAUCUCUUGGCUCCAGCAUCGAUGAAGAACGCAGCGAAACGCGAUAUGUAAUGUGAAUUGCAGAAUUCAGUGAAUCAUCGAAUCUUUGAACGCACAUGGCGCCUUCCAGUAUCCUGGGAGGCAUGCCUGUCCGAGCGUCGUUUCAACCCUCGAGCCCUCGUGGCCCGGCGUUGGGGAUCUGCCACGGCAGGCCCCGAAAUACAGUGGCGGACCCGUUAGGCCCUUCCUUUGCGUAGUAGCAUUAGCCUCGCAUUGGGAGCCGACGGGCUCUCCUGCCUCUAAACCCCCCAACAAGCCCGCUCCGGCGGCACCAAGGUUGACCUCGGAUCAGGUAGGAAUACCCGCUGAACUUAAGCAUAUCAAUAAGCGGAGGAAAAGAAACCAACAGGGAUUGCCUCAGUAACGGCGAGUGAAGCGGCAACAGCUCAAAUUUGAAAUCUGGCUCCUUCGGGGCCCGAGUUGUAAUUUGCAGAGGAUGCGUCGGGUACGGGUGCCUUCCGAGUUCCCUGGAACGGGACGCCAUAGAGGGUGAGAGCCCCGUCUGGUAG
rnacentral:rRNA from 1 species